CCUACGGGUGGCAGCAGUCGAGAAUCAUUCACAAUGGGGGAAACCCUGAUGGUGCGACGCCGCGUGGGGGAAUGCAGGUCUUCGGAUUGUAAACCCCUUUCAUGUGGGAGCAAAUUAAAAAGAUAGUACCACAAGAGGAAGAGACGGCUAACUCUGUGCCAGCAGCCGCGGUAAUACAGAGGGGUCAAGCGUUGUUCGGAAUCACUGGGCGUAAAGGGUGCGUAGGCUGUGUCGUAAGUAGUGUGUGAAAGGCGCGGGCUCAACCGGCGGACGGCACAAGAUACUGCGGGACUAGAGUAAUGGAGGGGGAACCGGAAUUCGCGGUGUAGCAGUGAAAUGCGUAGAUAUCGAGAGGAACACUCGUGGCGAAGGCGGGUUCCUGGACAUUAACUGACGCUGAGGCACGAAGGCCAGGGGAGCGAAAGGGAUUAGAUACCCCUGUAGUC
rnacentral:rRNA from 1 species